CCUUAAGAAGCUAAAUUAGCCAGCAUUAGAUUUUUAAUCUGACAUUAGAUAUUUAAUCAUAUCCCUAAGGU
rnacentral:tRNA from 1 species